rnacentral:lncRNA from 1 species
GCUAUGUAAACCAGGCUGGCCUUGAACUCAUAGAGAUCCCUUGCUUCUGCCUCCCAAGUGCUGAUAUUAAAGGUGUACACCUCCAUGCCGAGCAUCUUAUAAUAACUUAGUAGAGCAUGGUGAAGCCUAACAGAUCAGAACUAACAGGCCACUGCUGCUCUAAGAGGUUGCCCUCUGCCUCAGACUUUCUGCUAAUCAUUCUCAUGUUUUUACUUCCUUAUGUUUACGUCCUUGGUGGACGUGGAUGUUGUCAAACCCUGUGUCUUCUGAGGCUUGGAUGGAUGGUCACAAGGUGGAGUGAAGGCACUCUUGGGACUACAUGUUACAUCAGAGGUCAUCUUCCUCUCUCUAGCCAAUCCUAGGGAUGACAUCCCCACCUCCGAAAUGGGUUCGCUGUGUGCCAAGCAUACUGGUAGGAAGGGUUUUGUUCCUGGAAUUCGGGAAGGCUGCCCAGUUUGCUGAAGUGAGCAGAAAGUCUUCACAGGGUGAGGUAACUUGUCCCCAU